rnacentral:rRNA from 1 species
AUGACAAUUGUUGAUUUGGUAGUGCAUUAUGAGAACUGUAUAGUUUGCCUGCGUGAGAACAAGGCGUACGAUGACUACGAGGCACACCAGAAAGAACCACCAUCGGUUACUGAAUAUAAGGCCCUUGAGGAGCAUGCCGCGAAAGUAUUCACAUUUGCUAAUUUCUACAUCCUGCAAGAUGAUUUGCAUAAGAUGGGUCAGCUGGAGAUAUUUGAGACGCUCGUGGGAAUUGAGCAUCAGACAUUCAUGGUGACAUGGAAGGAUAACCACAAGUUCAGGUACAAUGUUGUUUAUGAACCAGGUAACUCAGAAGAAACUAUUACAUGCAAUUGUCUUAGGAUGGUUCGAAAAGGGCUGCCAUGCAAACACAUUCUGUUUGUUCUCCAUCAUCUGAACUUAACUGAAAUACCAAAGUGUUGUGUCCUUCGUCGGUUGUUCAAACAUGCGAGAGAUGGGUUGCCUGUGCUGCGGAAGAGUGAUAUGUUUGGAUGGGGUUGGUCAGGGCCAUUGGAGAGAGAACGGUAUAGUGCAAUAACCAUUAAAACUGCAGAAGCUGCUCAUGUUGCAGCAAAUGAUCCCUUCUUGUUCGACGAGUUGAUGAAGUGUCUGGACAACAUAAUAGCACAGAAAAAGAUUUCAGAGGAGGAACUUAUAGGAAGUAGAAGGUAUGCUAUGCUUAUGAAGGACGCAAGUCAGGCGCAACAAGUUGAGCUUGGUAUUGGUGAUCCUCAGAAAGUUUCGACGAAGGGUGCACCUAAGAAGGGGCGGUCAAAGGGGGGGCCCCGGCGUUACAAAGAAUGGUAG